rnacentral:rRNA from 1 species
UACGUAGGGUGCGAGCGUUAAUCGGAAUUACUGGGCGUAAAGCGUGCGCAGGCGGUGAGCUGUGUCCGAUGUGAAAGCCCCGGGCUUAACCUGGGAAUGGCAUUGGAAACUGGCUCGCUGGAGUGUGGCAGAGGGGGGUGGAAUUCCGCGUGUAGCAGUGAAAUGCGUAGAGAUGCGGAGGAACACCGAUGGCGAAGGCAGCCCCCCUGGGCUAACACUGACGCUCAUGCACGAAAGCGUGGGGAGCAAACAGG